AUGAAAAAGUCCAGUCAAAGGCACCCUUGCAAGAGGCGCUGCUUUCUGUCACGGGAUGGUUCAGAGUUGGGGAGGGAGGCCGCAGUUGAACAGCAGACCCUUACUCUGUUUGCUAGUCUCUGGGCCUGGGGCCCGGAACCCAGGACGAGGGUGAGAAGUUGGGGAGAGGGCGCGCUCCCAGUGCGUGGCUGGGUCGCGCUGCCAGCUGCCUGGUGGCGGCAGGGUGAACCCGGCUACGCGCGCCGGGUGACCAAAGCUCCGCCCCCAGCUCUAGUCUCUCGCUGAUUGACGCGCAGCCGCGGGGAAACAGCAGCGCAGAGAUUGAGCCCAGGACCCCUAGACUCUCCACGGUGGUCCACACUGUCUGCAGCGCACCGAGGGACUAUGCUCGGAGUUCAGCUGCUCAUAUCUUGUACUAGAAAAAAAUGAAUAUUGACAACAAGGGCUCGGCAUCUGCACGGGAAAGAAAGUACCACUUAACAACAACAACAACAACAACAAAAAUCCUAGCCCGGCCGCUGUGCAGUCGGCGGAGCUUGCUGCUCUAGGUUGUUAGUGGCAGAGUUCGGGACCUAGUAAUCCGCCGGCAGAGGAAGGGGGCCGCGGAAUUAAAACGAACAAAAGCUAGAGCGCCAUGCCAAACAUCCCCAACGCGACCCAGUUAGGCAGGAGCCAAGAGGAGUGGUGGGGAAAUAAACGAGAAGUAAGUUGAAAAU
rnacentral:lncRNA from 1 species